CCUAAUAACUGGCUGGGUGGGCGUGGCUGGGUGGUCAUGAGACUGGGUGGGUAUGGCCAACUCGGCAUGGAUUCUUUGCCCUAAUUAACUAAAAAAGAUAUAUACCAAAAAAGCUUCCAUGGUGGUGCAGUGGUUAGAGUGCAGUACUGC